rnacentral:tRNA from 1 species
GCCCGCUUGGCUAAGUGGUAUAGCGUGUCACUAGUAUCAACUGGAUGUCAUGACAAGAUCAGCGGUUCGAUUCCGCUAGUGGGCA